UUUGGAUGGGGAUUCCAGGUGGAUCUUCCUACAGCUGGAAACACAAACCCCUCAAAUUGUGCACUGUCCUUGGUGGAGCCACAGUUUCUGACCUGGGAAAAGGAGACACCAGGUCCUUGCAGGGAGGGAGAGGAGGCACCAAGGGUGAGCUCAAGGGACCUGCAGUGGGUCUGAGGCUUUGCAAAUCCCCAAAUUCAGACGAGCCUUGAGCCCCCAGAGCCUCCUGCAGCCACUUGUCCCAAGGUGUCCUUUGCAGAGCAUGACCUGCCCUUCCUGUGCUGUGCUGGACCAGGACAGUGAUCAGUGGGGCCACUGUGCAGACAGGUCACAGAGGAAGGGUAAGACCCCCACCCCAACUUUUUAAAAGGUUUAUGUUCAUUCUGGCUUUUCUAUGAGUUUUUUUCACAGCAGCAACAGCAAACCUCCACAGGGACACAGCUAAAAUCACAACAAACUGCAUAAGGGCAGAGAAGAAUGGAAGGAAACACUUGAACCAGUUUUUCUGCCAAAGAAAAUGUCCGUGUGAUGACAUCGUCUUGAUAUAGAAUCAGCGCAUGAGAUUGCCUUGGAGAAGGCUGGGGAAGAUGUUUGGGCCCUUAUUAAAGCUGCAUGGACAUAAAUAAAUAUGCAGGAGUACAGCUUGUGGUCUAUGUUUCAUCCCAAUAUUACCUGACUGGGGAAGGAAUGUAAAGAGAAGCAGACUGCUUAAAAACCCUACUAAUCAGAUAAUCCUUGAACUUGGUGCUGCUCCAGACCUGCAGUCUCCCUGUCUGUAUGGAUGUAGAGGUCUAUUCUAU